rnacentral:rRNA from 1 species
UACGUAGGGCGCAAGCGUUGUCCGGAAUUAUUGGGCGUAAAGAGCUCGUAGGCGGCUUGUCACGUCUGCUGUGAAAUCCCGGGGCUCAACCCCGGGCGUGCAGUGGAUACGGGCUGGCUAGAGGCAGGCAGGGGAGAACGGAAUUCCCGGUGUAGCGGUGAAAUGCGCAGAUAUCGGGAGGAACACCAGAGGCGAAGGCGGCCACCUGGACAGACACUGACGCUGAGACGCGAAAGCGUGGGGAGCAAACAGG